AUGGGGCUGCCCCAUAAGUUACUGGCCCCCCAUUAUCUAUGGGGCUGCCCCAUAAGUUAUAACCCCCCCCACAUAUCUAUGGGGCUGCCCCACAAGUACCUGACCCCUUUAUCUAUGGGGCAGCCCCACAAGCUCCCGCCCCACAGCGUCACUUACCUGCCUCCUCCCAGUAUCUAUGGGGCAGCCCCCCAAGUUCCCUCUGCCCCACACAUCUAUGGGGCAGCCCCCCCCAAGUUCCCUCUGCCCCACAUAUCUGUGGGGCAGCCCCACACACUGACCCUCCUGCCCCACACAUCUAUGGGGCAGCCCCACACAUCUAUGGGGCAGCCCCACACAUCUAUGGGGCAGCCCCACACAUCUAUGGGCCAGCCCCAACCAUUACGACCCUCGGCCCAAUAUCUAUGGGUCAAGCCCCCCCCGAAGUUUCCCUCUACCCAACAUCUAUGGGUCAACCCCAC
rnacentral:lncRNA from 1 species